rnacentral:rRNA from 1 species
AACGUAGGAGGCAAGCGUUAUCCGGAGUUACUGGGCGUAAAGCGUGCGUAGGCGGGUUCGUAAGUGGGUGGUGAAAGCCCUCGGCUAAACUGAGGGAGGACCGCUCAGACUGCGAGUCUAGAGGCGGAUAGAGGAGCGUGGAAUUCCGGGUGUAGCGGUGAAAUGUGUAGAGAUCCGGAGGAACACCAGUGGCGCAAGCGGCGCUCUGGGUCCGUACUGACGCUGAUGCACGAAAGCGUGGGGAGCGAACGGG